rnacentral:rRNA from 1 species
GAUGAACGCUGGCGGCGUGCCUAAUACAUGCAAGUCGAGCGAACGGACGAGAAGCUUGCUUCUCUGCUGUUAGCGGCGGACGGGUGAGUAACACGUGGAUAACCUACCUAUAAGACUGGGAUAACUUCGGGAAACCGGAGCUAAUACCGGAUAAUAUUUUGAACCGCAUGGUUCAAAAGUGAAAGACGGUCUUGCUGUCACUUAUAGAUGGAUCCGCGCUGCAUUAGCUAGUUGGUAAGGUAACGGCUUACCAAGGCAACGAUGCAUAGCCGACCUGAGAGGGUGAUCGGCCACACUGGAACUGAGACACGGUCCAGACUCCUACGGGAGGCAGCAGUAGGGAAUCUUCCGCAAUGGGCGAAAGCCUGACGGAGCAACGCCGCGUGAGUGAUGAAGGUCUUCGGAUCGUAAAACUCUGUUAGUAGGGAAGAACAUAUGUGUAAGUAACCGUGCACAUCUUGACGGUACCUAAUCAGAAAGCCACGGCUAACUACGUG